UGCAGUCGACGGCAGCAUGGGCUUCGGCCUGAUGGCGAGUGGCGAACGGGUGAGUAAUACAUCGGAACGUGCCUAGUAGUGGGGGAUAACUACUCGAAAGAGUAGCUAAUACCGCAUGAGAUCUAAGGAUGAAAGCAGGGGACCUUCGGGCCUUGCGCUACUAGAGCGGCCGAUGGCAGAUUAGGUAGUUGGUGGGAUAAAAGCUUACCAAGCCGACGAUCUGUAGCUGGUCUGAGAGGACGACCAGCCACACUGGGACUGAGACACGGCCCAGACUCCUACGGGAGGCAGCAGUGGGGAAUUUUGGACAAUGGGCGCAAGCCUGAUCCAGCAAUGCCGCGUGCAGGAUGAAGGCCUUCGGGUUGUAAACUGCUUUUGUACGGAACGAAAAGCUUCUGGUUAAUACCUGGGAGUCAUGACGGUACCGUAAGAAUAAGCACCGGCUAACUACGUGCCAGCAGCCGCGGUAAUACGUAGGGUGCGAGCGUUAAUCGGAAUUACUGGGCGUAAAGCGUGCGCAGGCGGUUAUGUAAGACAGAGGUGAAAUCCCCGGGCUCAACCUGGGAACUGCCUUUGUGACUGCAUGGCUAGAGUGCGGCAGAAGGGGAUGGAAUUCCCCGUGUAGCAGUGAAAUGCGU
rnacentral:rRNA from 1 species